UACAGAGGGUGCAAGCGUUAAUCGGAGUUACUGGGCGUAAAGAGCGCGCAGGCGGUCAGUGCAAGUCAGUUGUGAAAUCUCCGGGCUUAACUCGGAAAGGUCAACUGAUACUGUGCGACUAGAGUGCGGAAGGGGCAACUGGAAUUCUCGGUGUAGCGGUGAAAUGCGUAGAUAUCGAGAGGAACACCUGCGGCGAAGGCGGGUUGCUGGGCCGACACUGACGCUGAUGCGCGAAAGCCAGGGGAGCGAACGGG
rnacentral:rRNA from 1 species